rnacentral:rRNA from 1 species
GACAGGGGGUGCAAGCGUUGCUCGGAAUUCCUGGGCGUAAAGCGCACGUAGGCGGUCCCGUAAGUCGGGUGUGAAAGCCCUCAGCCUAACUGAGGAACUGCGCCCGAUACUGCGGGGCUAGAGGACGGGAGGGGAGAGUGGAAUUCCUGGUGGAGCGGUGAAAUGCGUAGAUAUCAGGAGGAAUACCAGUGGCGAAGGCGACUCUCUGGUCCGUUCCUGACGCUGAGGUGCGAAAGCUAGGGGAGCAAACGGG